AUUGAACGCUGGCGGCAGGCCUAACACAUGCAAGUCGAGCGGUAGAGAGGUGCUUGCACCUCUUGAGAGCGGCGGACGGGUGAGUAAUGCCUAGGAAUCUGCCUGGUAGUGGGGGAUAACGCUCGGAAACGGACGCUAAUACCGCAUACGUCCUACGGGAGAAAGCAGGGGACCUUCGGGCCUUGCGCUAUCAGAUGAGCCUAGGUCGGAUUCGCUAGUUGGUGAGGUAAUGGCUCACCAAGGCGACGAUCCGUAACUGGUCUGAGAGGAUGAUCAGUCACACUGGAACUGAGACACGGUCCAGACUCCUACGGGAGGCAGCAGUGGGGAAUAUUGGACAAUGGGCGAAAGCCUGAUCCAGCCAUGCCGCGUGUGUGAAGAAGGUCUUCGGAUUGUAAAGCACUUUAAGUUGGGAGGAAGGGUCGUUACCUAAUACGUGACGAUUUUGACGUUACCGACAGAAUAAGCACCGGCUAACUCUGUGCCAGCAGCCGCCGCCGUAA
rnacentral:rRNA from 1 species